UCCUCUGAUUUCAUCUGGUUUGAAUCAGUUUCAGCCAAGACAUAAGCAUUCAGUUUUGGUUUUCGUUAUUAGUGAUGUUCUUUGAAUGAAAGAGGGCUAUAUCUAUCUGUUACUGUUGGUGUAUUAAUAUAUGAAAUGUUUCAGCAAGAGCCUGAUUAUAUUGAAGUCUUCUCCAGUUUGAAUUGGGCGAUGAUGCUAGUUGUCUCUGUACUAGAGAUUUUAUUUUCUCUGAAUAUUUUUUCAAUAAUAUGAUGAAUUAUAUGAGGUCCAUUUUCUGUAUGCCCAUGAACUUUAGUCAAGCACAAUGUAGAAACACCGCAUCAAUUGGUUUUGAUAUUGUCGGUUUACGUGCUAACCAUCAUGAUCAUUUUUAUGGUACCAUUCAUUUUGUCAUGUUUAAGCAAUAUGCUCCAUACCUAAUGGUAAUUAGGCGUUCAAAGAUGGGUCUCUGCCUUGUGAAAAAUUGUCCUACUGCAAUUUUCUUAGAAGAGAGUAUGGGUGAAAACUGAUGUUGGUUAAAAUGGUGGCGUCAAUGUUAAGCUGGUUCUUUUGGUGACUUCUUUUUAAGUUAUUGUUUAUGAGAGGAAUACCUUUCUCCUUUGUAAAUUAUGGUUUUGUAACUUCUUCACUUCUUAACAUUGUUCUUGCUUUCGAGAAGAAUAUCUUUCUCCUCUAUGAAUUAUGGUUUAUUUUCUUUCCAUAGGUGACAAUGAGCAAACUUGUUUUCAGUCUGACAGUAAAACAUGGUUAGGUGUUCACCAGGUUCUGUUUUCCAUUCUAUUUGGCAUGGCAUUAUGAUUAAUAUCACCGAACCAACAUUUCGAGUCACACAGAUUGGUCUCAUUGAAGCGUCCGAUCUUCCACUUUAAAGACAAUAAAGAAAGUAUUCAAAAAUCGUGAUGCAAUUGUCAAUAAAAGAGAGACGUAAUUCGGGAUUUGAUCAGAGAUUAUUUUGUCAUUUGGCUCCCACGACGCCGCACCGAGAAGGAGAGCAAUGAUUGCUGGCGGGAAGAAAACUAGCAGUGAGCACUUGUCUCCUCUUGUUUGUUGAAGUUAUUCCCACAGCUGAAUCCAAUCACCACCAUCGUCUUCUCAUGGUUACUUCCAUCGCCUCCCCAGUUCUUGAUGGGAGAGGAAAAAGAGAUGAUCAGAGACUUGGUUUGGGAGCUUUGAUCGCUUCUGGCUUCGAUGUGGUGAGGGUUUGAUCAAAUCGGAGGGAGGGAGGGGCUGCCAGAGAUGAGUACGAGGCGGCAGACGUGCGGGAUUUUGUGGAGGAGGCCAAGAAGUGGGUCUUGCUGCUCCUCCAUGCAUUGCCUUCCUCUCCUAUUUGGUCUUGACUUUCCUGGAGCCCGAGUCUGGGAGAGCAAUAAAGGAAAUGCUUCUGUUUCGCACAUAUGACAUCCUCUUGAAACUUCUGAAUUCCGUGCAGCAAAGAAGAGUGAUAAAGGUCAUGUUCACCAUCCGAGGACAUUGAGAAUCCGUCUGGAAGAAAAAGGUCAAGGACCUCAAGAUCAAGCAAUCAGAAGGUCCAAUCUGGCAGGAAGUUUAGCAAACAUCUUUUUUGCAAUAUUUUUCUUGAUAAAAAUAAGCAAAGAAUUAGACUCUUGGGUCAAGACUUGGUAACUUUUAUCUAGUGGGUUGUACUUUUGGGACUGAUUCUGAAGUAUGAAUCAGAGAUAAUAUUUUUUGUAGUUGUUGUAAUGAAGUAUUUACAUAUAAUUUUCAUUAACAGAACCAGGCCAA